UACGUAGGGGGCAAGCGUUGUCCGGAUUUAUUGGGCGUAAAGAGCUCGUAGGCGGUUUGUCGCGUCGGCUGUGAAAACCCGAGGCUCAACCUCGGGCCUGCAGUCGAUACGGGCAGACUAGAGUGCUGUAGGGGAGACUGGAAUUCCUGGUGUAGCGGUGAAAUGCGCAGAUAUCAGGAGGAACACCGGUGGCGAAGGCGGGUCUCUGGGCAGUAACUGACGCUGAGGAGCGAAAGCGUGGGGAGCAAACAGG
rnacentral:rRNA from 1 species